rnacentral:rRNA from 1 species
UACGUAGGAUGCAAGCGUUGUCCGGAAUUAUUGGGAUUAAAGGGUGCGCAGGCGGCUUGUUAAGUUAGUGGUGAAAUCGUUGGGCUUAACCGGUUACCCGCCAUUGAUACUGAUAGACUUGAGUGCGACAGAGGGUGUUGGAAUGUGUGGUGUAGCGGUGAAAUGCUUAGAUAUCACGCAGAACACCAAUUGCGAAGGCAGAUGCCUAUGUCGUAACUGACGCUGAGGCACGAAAGCGUGGGGAGCAAACAGG